GUGCUUGCCAGUUAAACAAUUCCAGGUUAUGGGAUUGGAUCUCCAUUUUCCAAGAUUCUUAGCUGAUAAGUAUAUUAUGCGGGAAAAUCUCUACGUACUGAUGUUGUGCACAUCCAAAUACAAGCAAUCGAGGAAGAUUUCAUCCUCAACCUCCCUCACGACCCCAGGUUGGGGACAUGGCGAGAAGAUAUGGUUUUGUGAUCUAUGGUCUUGAGUCAUCUGUUGGAUGGGUGAUAAUGGAAAUUUUCUUGACGGCAAACACGUGCAUAAAUU